rnacentral:rRNA from 1 species
AACCUCCGCAAUGUGAGAAAUCGCGACGGGGGGAUCCCAAGUGCCAUUCUUAACGGGAUGGCUUUUCAUUAGUGUAAAGAGCUUUUGGAAUAAGAGCUGGGCAAGACCGGUGCCAGCCGCCGCGGUAACACCGGCAGCUCUAGUGGUAGCAAUUUUUAUUGGGCCUAAAGCGUCCGUAGCCGGUUUAAUAAGUCUCUGGUGAAAUCCUGCAGCUUAACUGUGGGAAUUGCUGGAGAUACUAUUAGACUUGAGAUCGGGAGAGGUUAGAGGUACUCCCAGGGUAGAGGUGAAAUUCUGUAAUCCUGGGAGGACCGCCUGUUGCGAAGGCGUCUAACUGGAACGAUUCUGACGGUGAGGGACGAAAGUUAGGGGCGCGAACCGGAUUAGAUACCCGGGUAGUCCUAACUGUAAACGAUGCGGACUUGGUGUUGGGAUGGCUUUGAGCCGCUCCGGUGCCGAAGGGAGCUGUUAAGUCCGCCGCCUGGGAAGUACGGUCGCAAGACUGAAACUUAAAGGAAUU